ACUACGAUAAUUCAGUAGGUUAGAAUGCUUCUCUGAUAAGGAAGUCGUCAGUGGUUCGAGUCCACUUCGUAGUA
rnacentral:tRNA from 1 species